CUUUGAUGGAGCUACUUUGUAUUGGAUAAUAAAGUGAUUUUUUUUCAUACACGCUUUCUGUGCAGCCUCGCGCUCGCUCUUGGAGGAAUGUUCUUGGACACCGUGGCCCCAGGAGCUGCGCAGUGCUGGAGCGGCCUCGUUGCACUCACGAAUGAGGGCCUCGCUGCAUUACAGAAAAUGAAAUCAUAACUUCCCGUACUUUCCAUCAGCCCUACGAUCUCCGUCCAGAGCAGUUUCUGCUGGGUGGAGUCCUUUGUGCCGGGGAUUGAAGAUUGAAAGUGUGACAUCGAGGAUUUUCCCCGCUUCGCACCCUAGCGCUGCCGCCGUCGCCGUGCAUCAUCCGAAUGGAAGAACUGUGAUUCAUGUGCUGGAUGUGUUUGCGGGGUGAGGCGGGUGGUCACUGGGGGGGGCUUUAUCGACAGUUCUGUUGUGGCAUGUGUUACGGGGUGGGGUGGGUUGGCUGAGGGUACAAGGGAGAAGGAGGGUGCAGUGGGACCCGGAGAGGGAGACCACUUUGACUCCCACACUUCCUCCUCAGGAAGUUCACGAGGGCUGAUGGGUCACCCCCCCGUCUCCCCCGCACCCUUCGCUCGGCACUCGGCAGCCAAUCAGGAUGGGGGAAUUCCAGUAAUGUAAACAGCUUUAUCAGAACCGAAUGUGUGCUGCUGGCAAAAUGUCCAGCGUGGUUAGCGAUGACACACACAAAAGGCCUGAAGCAGAAGAGCAUAUGAUCUUUAAAAGAAAUCUUUUAUUUUUAAUUAUUUCCAUCUCAGAACAGCAGACCUUGACCAUCAGUGCAAUGUCCAAAAUCCCGCUGUUCAGGAUAUGCUCCAGACUUCUGCGACCCUGCCCAGGACAAGUGGUCGCUAAAAGUGAGAGAGAGGGGCAGCACAGAGCAACAGUCCCCCAUGACAAUGACCUUCUGCGCCCCCAUGUGGACAACUGUGUGUACUACACAAGGGCCUCAGUCGGCGCAUAUAAGGCCAUCUACAGCACAUUUUCUUGAUUUGUAAGUUAAUACUGUACAGUGACAUAUUUCUACUUUUUUCCCAUAUAUAAAAUAAAU
rnacentral:lncRNA from 1 species